rnacentral:tRNA from 1 species
AAGAAUUUAGUUAAACAAUAACAUUAACUUGUCAAGUUAAAAUUAAUAAAAAUAUUAGUUCUUA